rnacentral:lncRNA from 1 species
CAAAACAUUUCACGGAUCCAUUGAAACCUCUCCUUCCUAAUCUUUCUCCCAAGGCAACCAAAAUAAACCUCGAGGAAACGCCGCCUAUGCCCCCUCUACCACCUAUGCAGUGGAUAACGAGCAGGGUUCAAAAUGCUUCCCUAGUUUCAGAGAGAGAAGAAUUAGGUGUAAGUCAAGUAUUAUUUCAACCAGUACAGCAAGUUAAACCUGAUUAACACCUAUGCAGUGGAUAACGAGCAGGGUUCAAAAUGCUUCCCUAGUUUCAGAGAGAGAAGAAUUAGGUGUAAGUCAAGUAUUAUUUCAACCAGUACAGCAAGUUAAACCUGAUUAUAACUCUCAAUUUGACUUAUCAACUUCUGAAAGAGUAGCCUUGCCAUAUCAGAAUCCUUUUUUGCCUGCUGUGGCUGUGGAGAGUAAUAAAAGCCUACGC